GGAAGGGGGACAGGUUUGUCCUGUUGAUCAUUUUAUCCCAAAUGAAGGGGAUAGAUCUGACCCAUCUGGAGACUGUGUCACUUUUGUCCGACUGAGCUCUCUUCGAAGCAUCUCUGGCCGCCCUCUUCGAAGCAUCUUCGAUCUCGCAUCACCAUCCCCUUCGAAGCAUCUCUGGCCGGGCUUGAUUUGAUAUUCAGGAGGAAGAAGCUUGAUUUUGGAGGCUUAAACUACCCUUCGAAGCAUCUCUGGCCGGGGGAAGAAGCUUGAUUUUGGAGGCUUAAACUACCCUUCGAAGCAUCUCUGGUCGGUGAGU